ensembl:lncRNA
UGCGGUUAGUGAGAGUUUGGAGACCGUUUGGAGGUUUAUGAGAGUGAGGAAAGUCAGGAGAGAAUGGAGCCAGCUAAGAAGAGGAGGAUGUCCUCCCCUGUGAGGGAACAUUUUGAUUUUAUUCCUCCCAACAAGGUGAAGUGUUUGCUAUGUGCCAGGGAGCUGGGAUAUAACAACAACACCUCAUCCAUGCUUAGGCACUACAGAGCUUUGCAUGAGAAUAAGGGGAACACCGAUUGUGGAGCAAGACCAGGAGAACAAUCUCAAAUAGAUGAAGACCUGGUCAGCAUGGUGAUUGAGGACUCAC